rnacentral:lncRNA from 1 species
ACGCAUGCAGCCAACUCAUCAGCUCUUUGUCGAUCCUCAGCCGCUCGCUUUCAAUCUUCAGCAGUCUAUCUCUGUAUCUCCAUCAGUUGGACAUCACAGGCAACAUGGACUUCAGUCCUAAACAAGCAUGAGAAUGAGGCAGCUCUGAUCCCAUAUCCUAAUCUUCUAACAUAACAGGAUCUCGUACCAAGCACUUGAUCAUAGAUCUCAUCAUUUAUGGGUGUGGUCGAGCCCUCAAGGAU